CCCAGACUCCUACGGGAGGCAGCAGUGGGGAAUAUUGAACAAUGGGGGAAACCCUGAUGCAGCGACGCCGCGUGAGCGAAGAAGUAUUUCGGUAUGUAAAGCUCUAUCAGCAGGGAAGAAAUUGACGGUACCUGAGUAAGAAGCUCCGGCUAAAUACGUGCCAGCAGCCGCGGUAAUACGUAUGGAGCAAGCGUUAUCCGGAUUUACUGGGUGUAAAGGGAGCGUAGGCGGCCUGCCAAGUCUGAUGUGAAAUACCGGGGCUCAACCCCGGGGCUGCAUUGGAAACUGGCAGGCUGGAGUGUCGGAGAGGCAGGCGGAAUUCCUAGUGUAGCGGUGAAAUGCGUAGAUAUUAGGAGGAACACCAGUGGCGAAGGCGGCCUGCUGGGCUUUAACUGACGCUGAGGCUCGAAAGCGUGGGGAGCAAACAGGAUUAGAUACCCCUGUACG
rnacentral:rRNA from 1 species